CCUACGGGAGGCUGCAGUGGGGGAUAUUGCACAAUGGGGGGAACCCUGAUGCAGCGACGCCGCGUGGGUGAAGGAGUGCUUCGGCAUGUAAAGCCCUAUCGGCAGGGAAGAAGCAAGACGGUACCUGACUAAGAAGCCCCGGCUAACUACGUGCCAACACCCGCGGUACUACGUAGGGGGCGAGCGUUAUCCGGAUUCACUGGGUGUAAAGGGAGCGUAGACGGCCAUGCAAGCCAGGGGUGAAAGCCCUGGGCCCAACCCCGGAACUGCCGUUGGAACUGCCUGGCUGGAGUGCGGGAGGGGCAGGCGGAAGUCGUGGUGUAGCGGUGAAAUGCGUAGAUAUCAGGAGGAACACCGGCGGCGAAGGCGGCCUGCUGGAGCGCGACUGACGUUGAGGCUCGAAAGCGUGGGGAGCGAACAGGAUUAGAUACCCCUGUAGUC
rnacentral:rRNA from 1 species